AUAGUCAGGGAUGUCCUCCUGAGUAUUGUCUCCCAGCAAGAAUAAAUUUCUUCAGUUGGUGGCUGGAACAUUCCCUGGAUGAGUAAAUGUGCUUCGACAGCAGUAUAGUGUCAGCCUGGACAGUUGAAAUGCUUCAGGAUUAGCCAGAAGUUGAUGCCAGUCUUGGACCAGUCACUGGUAAGAUUGUUCGAGACAUUCUGAAGAUGAAAAUUUGGUGGAAAACUAGUUCCUGGUGGAAUGAUUGGGGAUGAAGUAAAUAAAUGUAAGGCCCUAUUCUCUGCUGACAAUUUGGCUUACUGGUGUGCUUCAGGACGCAGUGAAGGUCUGCUCCAAGAUGGUCCAUUUAACAAAUUUUGCUGGACUUAUAUUAAUGGAAACCUGCAAUAAUAUUCACAAAACCUCUUCGCUAGGAUAAAGAUACUUUCCCGAAGAGUCUUCUAUCAUAUAAAAGCCAAAGUUUUUCCAGCAUGAUCUGUAAUGUACACAGCACACAUGAUGAUUAACUAGACUCAGUAACUGUAAUACAAGAGAGAGUGGUUGCAGUUUUCACCAUCAACUGGAUCAGCGUACCAUCAAGAUUGUAUCCCAUAUGAGGAUGUCAGGGGUAACAGUUGAGGAUGCCUCCAAAGAGUGCCAUGUCUCUUCUGGAAGAAAUAAACUUCAGCGAUUGCAGAGACUUCAAUUGGUGCAUAAAGCAUUCACUGGAUACGUAAAAUCUACUUCGGGUGGUUUUGUCUUCAAGCAUGUUUGACAACAGAAAGGUUUCUGGCGUCGUCAGUUUAAAUGCUUCACAGUUACCCAAAAUUUUAUGCUACUCUUAGAAAAUGGUAUACCCACUGUCUCACAGACAUGAUACAUUAAGAGGUUGGCUACAAGGGACCAUCAUCCUUACAUUACUGGAAUAAUCAGAAGCAUGAUUCUUGAACUCAAACCCAGUCUAUAGCCUGCCAAACUCUCGAAUCAUCAUGGUCCCGAAGGAGACAGUCACAGCGGCCGAAAGCUUGUCAUGGUUAAUCCUCAGCACCAGUGAUCUUCAAGUUUAUCUUUAUCCUCAACACCAGCGACCUUCAAGUGUAUCUUUGUUUAUCCUCAACACUAGCAAUCAAGUUUAUCUCAAUUGGACAAACAUGUAAUUGUUUCUUCAGAGCCUUAAUGCGUACAGCAUUCUUUCUCCUCUUAGAUGUCCAUAGACAAGUAUAUGCAGUGACCCCUAAAGAAUUUUGAUUCAAUGUCUUCUUCUAAAACUAGGAUUUAAUUAUUGUAACGAAGUACCUGGACAAAUCCAUUGACUCAAAUAGCUAAAGUCUCAUGGGGAAUUAGAAUUUAAUUAUUGUAACAAAGUACCUGGACAAAUCCAUUGACUCGCAUUGCUAAAAUCUCAUUGGGCUUCCCUAAUGGUUUUGUCCCCAACCACUUCUGAUGCCACAUUCUCUCUUGAAAUCUGUCAUGUUAAAACUUUGUCUGCAUUCAUUCACUUCACUUAGAAUAAUUCAAAGUACCUAUAUACUGCCUCUUAUCAUUCUUAUAACAUUUUGUCCUGUACUUUAUCAAAUUCUCAUUUUAUUUAUCUUUCCUCAUUCAGUAUAUUGCUGUUCCAAGCAUGUUUUUUUCUAUAUCUUUGCUGUGUUCAAGAUUGUUUGCCACAAUAGCUUCCUCUGUUGGCCAUAUAAUUCAUGGUCACCUAACUCAUGUUCUUUAAAGUUCUUUGCAGUGUCGAUUUGGCCCCCUUGCUGCAACCCCUUGCAUUCCUUUUACUGUACCUACCCAUUCAAACUUGCAUCAUACAUUCCACCCUCUCCUAACUAUUGUUUCAUAGUGCAAAAGUAAGGUUUUCCUCCUGUUACACCUUUAAAAAAUUUUUAGUCUCAAUUUCCCUUUUAGGACUGAAUAACCUCAUAUUUCCCAGUGCGACUUUUGGCAUAAAUACUAUAUACUAUUCUAUUCCAUUCCAUGAGUUUUGCCCUCCCUAAUCUCUGUAGUCCUGCCUGUUCCCUUUUGCUUAUUCUUAGCCUGAAUUUGAAGGCUAUCCUAUUACAGUAUUUCAGUUACCCUCUGCAGUUACUGUUCAUAGUAUACAGUAGUACCUCGUAUUUCGAACUUAAUCCGUUCCAGAUGGCUGUUCGAAGUACGAAUUGUUCGAAAUAUGAAACAAAUAUCCCCAUAAGAAAUAAAGGGAAUCAGGAUAAUUCGUUCCAGCCAACCCAAAAAGUCACCCUUUUCACAUUUAAAAAAAAAAAAAUUAUCAAUGUGUUCAAUAGUUAAAUAGAGUGUAAAGUAAUGAAACAGUACGUUAUAUGAAGUAAAAUUUUCUUUCAUUUUAUUUUUCCUGUGUACGGUUUACGAACUGUUUGGUAAAAAUGGAGCCAUCCGGCUGGGGGAUGGAGGGAGGAGAGACGGGAACCCUCUUGAGCAAACCAAAUUAAUUGCAGUAUGCAAAGGUUGAUAACAAAAUAUAUUUUAUUCACAUUAGGUACAAAGAUAAUUAAAGGAAUCGAUAGUGUUUGUGUCCGAUUGUGUCUCAGAGAGAGUGAGUGAGUAAUUAGCGUGUUUACACUUGGUUCUUAUGUGCACAAAAUAGAUUAAUUAUGCCACAAGACAUCAACUAACUGUUGCCAAACAGCAGACUUUUAAAAUAAACAUCAUGAUUUUACAGACACAUAAGUAAUAAUUCAAGAAUGCAAGGGAAGGAAAGAAAUAAAAUAACUUUUCACAAGGAAGCCGUUUAAACAAACAAUCGAAGGCAUGCAGAAGCUGAAAGCGACGCCAAUUUGUUUAUUACAGAGCCGAGUUACUUUUACAGUAGUAAAUAUAUCAUAAAAUGCAAUUAUCACUAGAUUGGUAUUUUACCGUAAUAAAAAUAAAAGUGAUUUGGGCAGAUUGAGUGUAAGUGAAAGAAAUGGGGGAAUAAUCAUCCCAGAUCAGCUAAUAAGUCAAUGGUA